GAUGAACGCUGACAGAAUGCUUAACACAUGCAAGUCUUUGGCGAAGCUGUGCUCGCACAGCCUAGCCAAGGCGGACGGGUGAGUAACGCGUAAGGAACUUGCCCUGCAGUCAGGGAUAACAGACGGAAACGACUGAUAAGACCUGGUAAAGUCAGGCGGACUCAUGUCCAGCCUGAUGAAAAGAGAUGCUGCAGGAGAGCCUUGCGUCCUAUUAGCUUGUUGGUGGGGUAACGGCCCACCAAGGCGAGGAUAGGUAGCCGGCCUGAGAGGGUGGACGGCCACUGGGGGUCUGAGAUACGGCCCUUACUCCUACGGGGGGCAGCAGUGGAGAAUAUUGGAAAAGGGGGACAACCCAGAUCCAGCAAUUCUGCGUGCACGAUGAAGGCUUUCGGAUUGUAAAGUGCUUUCAGCAGGGAAGAAAAAAAUGACGGUACCUGCAGAAGAAGCGACGGCUAAAUACGUG
rnacentral:rRNA from 1 species